UGGAGAUAUAAACCCAAGACACAUCUGUAAGAGGGCUACUUCAGAGUGUCUACCAACAUGGAAAAUGCACACAUCAGUUGGCCCCCCAAGGACACUUUGAGGGAUUUCCCAGUUAUAACUGCAAGAAAUGCAAAUAUCUGAUGUCUCUAUGUCCUUGAAGAUUGGAUGAUUUGCAUUAGGAGAAGCAAAGCUUAACCUCAAAGGCCAGCAUCACCCCUGGAGUGAUGGACAUUCCCCCAUCACCUGAGACUCAUGUCUAAUUGUAGCUUUGGAGUAUGAAGCUUUCCAAGAUAUCGCCAUUCCUAUCACCACCUAACAUCCAAGGACUUGUGACUGUUAAUGUUGACUUGAAUCAUCUAGCCACUGGAGUGUUUACUGGGUUGGUCGAGCCCACCAUGACUGCUCCUGUCCUUCUGUGCUCUACUGUUAGCGGGAAAUUGAUAGGCAGACCACAGCUGAAGGAGUGCAAGUUACACUCCCCAUCCGGGAGACAGAACAUCUGUAUAGACUGUAUGGAAUCCUUCUAUAUGGAAAUUUGCCUCUUACCACAGUUAUUUGUUCGAAUCAGAGCAUAUUUGUGGGCAUUCAUUUUAUACUUUGGAUGUGUUUAUUUUGUUACUCAGAUUGUCCCAACCUUGGCCUUUAGGAGGCCUUUCAAUUGGCUUCUGUGACACAGCAUUGCUUUUAUUGAGGAUCAUUUAUUUCUUUGUUAGUUUCCUCAGACUUUCUGACCUUGUGAGAUGCUCCAAGCUUCUCUUGCAUACUGCCCUUCUCCGUUGGAUCUAUGUGUUGUUUCAGGGAUCCCUGGUUGUCUUUACUAGGCAUGGUUUUAGAAACUGCUAUCUGGACACUAGAUGUGCUCACUGCUAAUGGACAGUUAUUUAGGAGAACUCCUCGGCUGACAGAGCAAAGAAUGCAUGUGUGUAUACUAAUCUGUGUGCCUCUACUGGGCAUACUAACCUAUAAUUCUUCUAAGUUGAAUGCAUGAACGUUCUACUUGUGAUGUAAAUACAAUGGGUUUUGACAAAUGA